CCGGGCGAUGCCCCGCGGUGGCGGGGGCGAGCUGUCAUCCCAGGCUCCCAGACCGGGAAAAGGAGGCUCGCUGGGGCCAGGGCCCGCCAAGGUCACACCCGAAUAAGAGCUGUGGUCCUAGGUCACUGCCUGGCUUCCUCCGCCUGCCACACCAACUCGCCCGAGAUGUAGGUGGCCUGAAUGUGCAGGGAGUCAUCGAGCAUCACGAAGUCUGGGUCAAAGCAUGACACUCUACCUGGGUGCUGCAAAAAGCCCCAUGGGGCCUGGCCAACCGCAGCCUCUGCCAGACGACAACUGUCCACACCCUCUACAUCAUGUGGCCUGACCCUGGAGACUGGAUUGCUGCUCUGGCCCUUCACCUCAUCACAGUUCUCUACCUGACAAGUCCUGCCAUCCCAUAGCACCCUCCCCAAGCCAAGCCCCCACCCUCAUGUGGAGUAAAGACCCUUCUCUUGGGUGCCGUGGCUUGGAUGCUUGCCCUG